rnacentral:rRNA from 1 species
AUGUUGAGAUGGAUGUGUAGCCACACAAGAAAGGACCGGGUCCGGAAUGGCGAUAUAUGUGAGAGAGUUGGGGUGGCGCCAAUUGAAGAGAAGCUUGUCCAACAUAGUCUGAGAUGGUUUGGGCAUGUUCAACACAGGCCUCCAAAAGCGCCAGUGCAUAGCAGGCGGUUAAGGCACGUUGAUAAUGCCAAGAGAGGUCGAGGUAGACCAAACUUGACAUGGGAGGAGUCCGUAAAGAGAGACCCAAAGGACUGGAAUAUCACCGGAGAUUUAGCCAUGGACGGGCACAUGGAAGCAGAACCAUGA